rnacentral:rRNA from 1 species
GAUGAACGCUAGCGGCAGGCCUAAUACAUGCCAGUCGGACGGGAUUCAGGAGCUUGCUUCUGAUGAGAGUGGCGCACGGGUGCGUAACACGUAUGUAACCUACCUUUAUCAGGGGGAUAGCCUCUCGAAAGAGAGAUUAAGCCCGCAUAAAAUCACAGCACAGCAUUGUGUAAUGAUCAAAUAUUUAUAGGAUAAAGAUGGGCAUGCGGAACAUUAGCUAGAUGGCGGGGUAACGGCCCACCAUGGCGACGAUGUUUAGGGGAUCUGAGAGGAUGGCCCCCCACACUGGUACUGAGACACGGACCAGACUCCUACGGGAGGCAGCAGUAAGGAAGAUUGGUCAAUGGGCGGAAGCCUGAACCAGCCAUGCCGCGUGCAGGAAGACGGCCCUACGGGUUGUAAACUGCUUUUAGACGGGAAUAAACCCAGAUACGUGUAUCUGGCUGAAUGUACUGUAAGAAUAAGGAUCGGCUAACUCCGUG